rnacentral:rRNA from 1 species
GACGUAGGGCGCAAGCGUUUGUCCGGAUUUAUUGGGCGUAAAGAGCUCGUAGGCGCCUGUCGCGUCGACCGUGAAAACCCGCAGCUCAACUGCGGGCUUGCGGUCGAUACGGGCAGGCUGGAGUUCGGUAGGGGAGACUGGAAUUCCUGGUGUAGCGGUGAAAUGCGCAGAUAUCAGGAGGAACACCAAUGGCGAAGGCAGCUCGCUGGGACGGUGCUGACGCUGAGGCGCGAAAGCGUGGGGAGCAAACAGG